rnacentral:rRNA from 1 species
UCGGGAAUUUUGGGCAAUGGGCGAAAGCCUGACCCAGCAACGCCGCGUGAAGGAUGAAGUAUUUCGGUAUGUAAACUUCGAAAGAAUAGGAAGAAUAAAUGACGGUACUAUUUAUAAGGUCCGGCUAACUACGUGCCAGCAGCCGCGGUAAUACGGAGGGAGCUAGCGUUGUUCGGAAUCACUGGGCGUAAAGCGCACGUAGGUGGGCAGUUAAGUCAGGGGUGAAAGCCCGAGGCUCAACCUCGGAAUUGCCUCUGAUACUGGCUGUCUAGAGUUCGAGAGAGGUGAGUGGAAUUCCUAGUGUAGAGGUGAAAUUCGUAGAUAUUAGGAAGAACACCGGUGGCGAAGGCGGCUCACUGGCUCGAUACUGACACUGAGGUGCGAAAGCGUGGGGAGCAAACAGGAUUAGAUACCCGAGUAGUCCCUGAGCGGGCUGGCAAGGCGCAU